rnacentral:rRNA from 1 species
ACUGCGAGUGAACCGGGAAGAGCUCAAAUUUUGAAUCUGACAGUCCUUGAGGCUGUCCGAGUUGUAAUCUAGAGAAGUGUUUUCCGCGCUGGACCGUGUAUAAGUUUCCUGGAAAGGAACGUCAUAGAGGGUGAAAAUCCCGUCUUUGACACGGACACCCAGGGCUAUGUGAUGCACUCUCGACGAGUCGAGUUGUUUGGGAAUGCAGCUCAAAUAGGGUGGUAAAUUCCAUCUAAAGCUAAAUACAGGCGAGAGACCGAUAGCGAACAAGUACCGUGAGGGAAAGAUGAAAAGAACUUUGGAAAGAGAGUUAAACAGUACGUGAAAUUGCUGAAAGGGAAACGCUUGAUGUCAGUCGCGUUGGCUGGGGAUCAGCCUUGCUUAAUUGCGGGGUGCACUUCCUGGUUGACGGGUCAGCAUCAGUUUUGACUGUCGGAAAAGGGCAAGAGGAAUGUGGCACUCUUUCGGGGGUGUGUUAUAGACUCUCGUCUUGAAUACGGUGGUUGGGACUGAGGAACCGCAGCACGGCCUUUAUGGUUCUCGGGGCUUUGGCUCACGAUCGCGUGCUUAGGAUGCUGGCAUAAUGGCCUUAAGCGACCCGUCUUGAAACACGGACCAAGGAGUCUAACAUGCAUGCGAGUGUUUGGGCGAUAAAAACCCGAGCGCGUAAUGAAAGUGAAAGUUGAGAUCUCUGUCGUG